GACGAACGCUGGCGGCGUGCCUAAUACAUGCAAGUAGAACGCACAGUUUAUACCGUAGCUUGCUACACCAUAGACUGUGAGUUGCGAACGGGUGAGUAACGCGUAGGUAACCUGCCUGGUAGCGGGGGAUAACUAUUGGAAACGAUAGCUAAUACCGCAUAAUAUUAAUUAUUGCAUGAUAAUUAAUUGAAAGGUGCAAUUGCACCACUACCAGAUGGACCUGCGUUGUAUUAGCUAGUAGGUGAGGUAACGGCUCACCUAGGCGACGAUACAUAGCCGACCUGAGAGGGUGAUCGGCCACACUGGGACUGAGACACGGCCCAGACUCCUACGGGAGGCAGCAGUAGGGAAUCUUCGGCAAUGGACGAAAGUCUGACCGAGCAACGCCGCGUGAGUGAAAAAGGUUUUCGGAUCGUAAAGCUCUGUUGUAAGAGAAGAACGGGUGUGAGAGUGGAAAGUUCACAC
rnacentral:rRNA from 1 species